rnacentral:lncRNA from 1 species
UACCACUCGAUGGAAAGAACUCAAUUAGUACCAAACCUCUGUGCAGCAGCACUGGGUGCUGGAAGACCAUGUAACAAUGACUUUAACCCUUGAGUUCUCUAUCCGGUAAAACCACCAACUGAUAACAGGAGAAAGUGAAAAGAGAAUAGAGAGAGAGAUUAGCAUGAAAUAUUCUCAGUUAAAAGGAUUAUUUGCAGACAGAGGAAAACAUCCUUAUCUAUAGCUCCAAUCCUCAUCUCUUCAGAAACUGCUCCUGAAAAAGGCCUGAAAAUAACGUAGACAAAGUAAUUAGUGGAUGGAGUUAUCAGAAGAUUUCAAGAGAUUUUCCUAUUAUCAUGUUGGUUUUCAUGCAAGCAAUACAACCCUCAUCAUAUUUCCUCGUUCUUCUGAACAAUAGAAGAAGGAGAGAUGCUACACCUCUGUGCUUCCAAAAAAGGAUGCAACUCAGGAAGAGCCAAAUGGAAGAGCUGCACAGAGCAACGUAUGGGGAAGGGGUGUGGAGCUUCUGUUCCUCUCCAGGGGCACCACGCUGUCUGCACCUUCGUGUUUCCCAACCGGGAAGCUUCUCAAACCCCUUCAGUUACAGUUUUUUAAAGAAGGCUUCAUCACAUAGGCAUGAUCAAUUAUUGACUUAAACUCCAGCUCCUUUUUCCUUCCUGGAGUUUAGCCAAUGGAAAACAACAACGGACCUAAUUCAAAUGAGUAAUUCACCCUUUGGAUUUGGGUUGGAGAUAUCUGAAGUGAGUCAGAACUGAACAGAGUGUGAAACAGGAUUAGGAAAUCCUGAAUCAAUCCAAGUAACUGCAUGGAAAGCUUCAGCGUGGAUGUGGUGUAGGAGUAGCUUCCGGGAAUAGUCCUGCAGCCCACUGUGCUAACUGACCUGGCCUUGUGACAUGAAAGUGUGAGGCCAGGGGUUUUCCCUUCUCAAGGUGGGGAGAUUCUUUUGGCUGCAGUUCCCACACAUGCUCCAGAAGGAUACAGGGAGAAUAAGGAGCGAAAACAAGCAUUUGAUACCAGCAGAAACCAACAAUAAGGGAGUGCAGCAAGGAAGCUGGUGCCAGAUCCGAGAUCCCUCCUCUCGUCCCACCUCACUUGUGCUUUCUGCUCUCAUGAAGUCAUCACUGGGAAGCCAACACUGGCAGCAGGAGAGGAUAUCCUGAGAUCUGGCCUGCAGUCUGACAAUACCUUUUUGGCACAUGGUAGUGUAAAACAUUCCUAUUAGUACUCCACAUUCGUUCUGGCUGCUGAGCAUAGGUGAGUGCAGGAGCCAAGAGGAAAUUCCCUGUUGGGGAAAUACUGUGAGAUACAGAGAAACAGGUGAGCACAGCAAGAAGUGGGGCCAUUUGCGGACCCUUCAAAAGAAGGAUAAUUUGCAGGAAAUUCUUUAUCUACUUUGGCUUCUCCUAAGGAAAAGUAAAAUAAAAAAUGAGAAUUUCCUUAAGAAUAAGAGGAGAAGGAAAAGCACAAAAUGGGAAGAAUUACAUUAAGGCAUGCCACAAAAAUUUCCAACUAGUCGCAAGAAAAAAAUAUAAUUCAUAGAAUCUUAGAGUUUGUGUAAAUCCUAGAGCUCUUGGUGAAAAUUUACUUCCUGAGUGGAUGUUAGUAUAAAAACUAUUCUAGCAUUUCCCAAAGUAUUUUUUUUAGGAUGCUAUUUUGUUUUAUGCAGGGGUAAAAGUCUUGAGAGUGGUGGGUUAAACAAAGGCUAAUGGGUUCCUUUUAUUGAUGUAAAUGCAUUUUUAA